rnacentral:lncRNA from 1 species
AAUCUGAAUUAAGAUUUCAAAAUACUCUACUGAAAUUGGUAAAUUUAUGGUAUACCUUACCCCUAUCAAAUUGAUGCCGCCGGUGAAUUUCAUCUCCGGCGAUUGGAACUAUUCAAUGCUCAGGAAGAAAAGAAAACUCUGCUUAUUUCGAGAGAUUUUAGGUGUAUUAUUGUUGUUUGCUUUGAUUUUCUUUCCUUACUGUUGUUUGCUUAUUUCGAGAGAUUUUGUUUAGGGUUUCUGUUAAUGUAGUGUUUUCUCUGUGUUCAGGUGUUCCGAUUUAUAGGUCGCGCUGUAUGAGGACAAGCUAUCAUACUCCAUCAUCUAUGUAAACUCUUCGUUUCUGUUGGGAUUUAAUUUUACUAUUUUUUGUGCAUGAAAGUUGAUAAAAACGGAUUAGUGACUGAAAUUUGAUUGCUUUUAGCAUGUAAGUUCUGCAUAUUUAGAGAUGAAUUCUUUGUAAGUUUCAAAUGCUAUAAUGUGGUUGAGAUCAAUUGUUAUGUAGCAUUCAACUAAUUGCUACACAUGACAUCCUCUAAUCUCCAUUUCAAAUAUUGUUUCUUCUUCUGCUUCCCGUAUUGUUGUCACAGUGAUAUGUGUAUAAUAUGGCAUAAUCGAAAGUUUUCAGGAAUUUGACUAGUUAUUGAGAUAGAUUGUAUUGUGAUUUGCUUUGUAAAUGAUGGACUAAUAUAAAAUAUGAAAUUGAGGAGUGUUUGAAUCGACUUGUAGUUAUGCAAGAGAUAGAUAUUAAUAGUAUGGCUUCAUUGUAAAUCCUCCAGCCCUUAAUAACUGAGAUAUUUUCAUCACUUUAGGUGGUUUGACUGAAAAUAUAGAUUAAUUCCUAACAGAAAUAAAAUGUGGCACGUCCGGAACAAAAUAUUGCCUUCUCUUGCUCUCAUGUAUCUUUUGCAUGAUCAGUGGUCCAUUCAUCAUACGUCCCUUAAAGUGGCUCAAUGACAGUUCAAUGACAGUAUUUGGAAACAGAAAACUAAAUUCAAAAUGGAUCUCUAAUAUUAUGUUGCAGGUCUAUUGAUUUUCUGAAAUCUAUUUAAUGCAAAUUUGCAGGUUCCUCGAUUUUCUGAAUUCAUCUGUAAUGCUUCCUUAGCUCUUGUGGUAAUUCUUUUCAACGUUCUACCAGUAAUAUCUUUUACAUUUUUAAUGUUUUAGGUGACCAGCAGAAGUAUUUGUAAUAUCAGUUGUUCCUAACCUUCUAAACUUACUGCUAUGUAAAACUCCAUUUUCUUAUCUGUUUAACAUGAGUUUUGCUCUGAUGGUAAAUUUCAUUUUUAUUUGUGGUAGUUUCUAAAGUUAAUUGCAUUAAAAAUGUGAGAACUUUGAUUAGUUUUGCAAUUACAACAUGACUUUUAGAUUUUAGCAAUUACAACACUGCCUUUUUAUUUUGGCAAUUAGAACAUCAAAAAGUUUAUGGUAAAGUGAAUCUAACUUGUUUGGAAAAUUUAGCUGUUGGACUUCAUUGGAAAUCUAUCAAUGUUUUAAUUGGAAACAGAAGUCAGUGUUUGAAUAUUGAAAUAAGAAGGUCGUGUUAUAUUUGCAAAAGUAACUAAAGUUUGAGAUUUUAAAGCUUCUAGCUCUAAUUUAUGGCCAUGGAGUUAAAACAGUUUCUCAGUAAUUCAAUAUUUAGGCUGUGAUGCUUUCUUAUGUUAAUUUCUGAUUAGUCAAUUAAGUUUGGUAUCUUAUACACACAUUAAGUUAAUGGAAAUAACUAUAAUUCCUUUUCAAUCUUCAGAUUAUGUUAAACUGUUAAAGGCUUUCAUCAUAUACUAGUUGUCGAAUGUUUGAAGUUGCUGAUAGUCUAUAUAUUUUCAAUUUAAAUGGACUUCCAUUAUUACUUGCCAUAACUCUAACUAUUUUUCCUAGUUCAUGCAACUCAUACCUUAGAAAAAUAAAAUUUUGGACCUCUAAGAGCAUAACAAGAAGGCUUACAAUAAUCUUGUUUGACAAAAGUCUAGUGAAGAAUCUAUACCUAUUAUAAAGAAGCCUUGUUUUUCAAAAUUUGGUUUCCCUAUAAUUAUAUCCUUGAUAAAUAUAUUAUAUUUAUCUAUUUAUCAAUUAUCAUUAUAAAAAUGUGUACUCUCACGAAUUUUGAUUACACUUAUAAUAUCCUUACCUAUUUUAAUUUUAAAU